rnacentral:rRNA from 1 species
GGGCAGCAAUGGGCGCAGCCUGAUGCAGCCAUGCCGCGUGUAUGAAGAAGGCCUUCGGGUUGUAAAGUACUUUCAGCGGGGAGGAAGGGAGUAAAGUUAAUACCUUUGCUCAUUGACGUUACCCGCAGAAGAAGCACCGGCUAACUCCGUGCCAGCAGCCGCGGUAAU